AACGAACGCUGGCGGCAGGCUUAACACAUGCAAGUCGAACGCCCCGCAAGGGGAGUGGCAGACGGGUGAGUAACGCGUGGGAACAUACCCUUUCCUGCGGAAUAGCUCCGGGAAACUGGAAUUAAUACCGCAUACGCCCUACGGGGGAAAGAUUUAUCGGGGAAGGAUUGGCCCGCGUUGGAUUAGCUAGUUUGUGGGGUAAAGGCCUACCAAGGCGACGAUCCAUAGCUGGUCUGAGAGGAUGAUCAGCCACAUUGGGACUGAGACACGGCCCAAGCUCCUACGGGAGGCAGCAGUGGGGAAUAUUGGACGAUGGGCGCAAGCCUGAUCCAGCCAUGCCGCGUGAGUGAUGAAGGCCUUAGGGUUGUAAAGCUCUUUCACCGAUGAAGAUAAUGACGGUAGUCGGAGAAGAAGCCCCGGCUAACUUCGUG
rnacentral:rRNA from 1 species